rnacentral:rRNA from 1 species
CCGCAUGGUAGAACUAUUAAAGAAUUUCGGUCAUCGAUGGGGAUGCGUUCCAUUAGGUUGUUGGCGGGGUAACGGCCCACCAAGGCGACGAUGCGUAGCCGACCUGAGAGGGUGAUCGGCCCACAUUGGGACUGAGACACGGUCCAGACUCCUACGGGAGGCAGCAUUG